CGGCCGCAGAGUUUGAUCAUGGCUCAGAACGAACGCUGGCGGCGUGGAUAAGACAUGCAAGUCGAGCGAGAUUUUUUUCUGUAGCAAUACAGGAAAACGUCUAGCGGCGAACGGGUGCUUAACACGUGGGCAACCUGCCGAGAAGUGGGGGAUAGCUCGCCGAAAGGCGAAUUAAUACCGCAUGUGAUCAGAGUGGACAUCCAUUCGAAAUCAAAGUCGGGGCAACCUGACGCUUCCUGAGGGGCCCGCGGCCUAUCAGCUAGUUGGUGAGGUAACGGCCCACCAAGGCUUUGACGGGUAGCUGGUCUGAGAGGACGACCAGCCACACUGGGACUGAGACACGGCCCAGACACCUACGGGUGGCAGCAGUCGAGAAUUUUUCUCAAUGGGGGAAACCCUGAAGGAGCGACGCCGCGUGGAGGAUGAAGGUCUUCGGGUUGUAAACUCCUGUCAUUUGGGAUCAAGGUGUGCGCGUUAACUGCGCGCGCAUUGAUAGUACCAGAAGAGGAAGAGACGGCUAA
rnacentral:rRNA from 1 species